rnacentral:snRNA from 1 species
AGAUGAUCUGGCUGAUUCAUGUGUCACCCAUCGAUCACCAGGUUGAUCCUGCUGAUCUGGUUGGCUAGUCGGAUGUCCCCUUCCUCACCACGCCAUGAGUGUCCCUUCGGAAGCUGUGUGCUCCAUUGAAGACACUGGCUUUCAAGAUAGAGGAGCACUAUUCUUUGGUCAAGAGUAUAUGAGUAGCUGUGCUCCCCUGCUAGAACCUCCAAACAGACUCUCAAGGAAACAAAGAGCAAGAUGGUAGACCUAACUUCAGUCAUACCCAAAAUUACUAUAAAUGUAAAUGACAUAAAUAUUCCAAUU